UGUCUUAGUAUGUUUUCUGCUACCUUCUGUUUAGAAAAGCUGAUGAUAUGCCAGAGUUGCACAAACUGCAGCUGGUUCGUUCUUUCUUCUUGGAGGCUGCAGCUUACAGGUGAAGGCCCUGACCUUUCCACGGUGCACAGGAACAAUCAUACUGAAUGCAGUGAGAUAGCCUCCAGCUCUCACAGAGGAGCAAGAGUCUUCAGUCGGAGAGUAACUGACAGUUUGGCAGGUGGCAGAACAGUUCCUUCCCAUAAUGAGAUGAGCAAACAGAGGCACAGAACUACUGUCUCUGACUUGUACGGUCAUCUCGGUUAAGGGUGAGAAGUUCAGCGAGGCUGCAGUUGAUCCUGGGCAGUGCCCGUCGCUGUCGGUGAUGAUCCCAGGUCUGGGGGACGUGCUGCUGUAGGCCCUGAGAGCGUGGAGCUUCUCCCUGGCCAGUCUGGAUCCAGAAGCGUUACAGUCCCCUUCACGUGAUGUGACACCCCAAAGCGGGAGGAGCGCACGUGGCAGUAGGUGCAGGCAGCGGCUUCUCUUCCUCCAGAGCCUGCUGCUGAAACAGGCGGGAGGCAGAGGAGCUCCAGCGCUGCUGGACAGAUAAGCUACAGGGGCAGGUGGGGUUUGAGAGCUGCCCCACGCUACAGAGGAAAAAAGCAAAAGGAAUCACCCCAGAUCUCCCGAAUUACGGAUUAAGUAUCUGAGGCAGGAGACUCCAGUUUCAGACAAGGCAUGCACACAGGUUUUAAAUACCUUCAGCCUGAAUGUUGCUUCUAGCAUCUUGCCAACUGAUUUAUCACGGUGUAUCUGACUUCCACCUGUGCCUGACUGCUACAGUGAUGCUCCUGAGUGCACAGUGCUCAUGGGGAUUAUUCGAUUUCACACAAAUUGUUUCAGCCUCUGGCCAGCUUCUGCAAUACUAUUUCUGUUAUAUUCUUUUUAUGACACAGAUUUAGGGAGCAUGGUCCUGACUGGUUAGAUUUUGGGCUCCAAUUAAAUGCAGUUGCAUACCUGUUCUGAAACAGCAAUCUAAAUAACUAGGGCAAGGUAUGUAAAUGUAUGCAGGCACUCGUGCAAUCUCUUACAAUUUUAGUGUGUGUAAGUAUGUGUAAAGCUUGUGGUGUGUGUGUGUGUAUACAUUACCUUAAGUUACACUGCUGACUUAGAACAUGAAUGCUGUGGUCUGGAUAAAGAGCCAGAUUUAUUAUUGAAAUAAAUUAAGUGGCAGAAACGCCAGCAUGAAUCUGGCCACAAUUGAAAAUAUGUACAGCAGAAGAAAUUAUUAAACAAUCUCACUGUAUGCUAUUCAGCCAGAGCAUGUAUGAGUUAAAGCAGGUAUUUCCAAUGGAGUGGAACCUGCAACAGGCUUCUUAUAAAAGGUAUAAUUACUGCUGGAAUAAAACCCACAAAGGCGUAGAGUGAAGAUAGAGCGUGUACGCUGUGAUGACAGGUGGCAGUAUAUGAAAAACAUUCUUGCAUACCGUGGGAGUAAGGCCUAUGGCUCUGUUUUCAGCAGCCCCUGGUAGUAAGAAAAGUGAGAGUGUUAACACAAAAAAAUCACAGUUCCUUUCUUAUGGCAGCUCAAGAAAGUAAAGCUCUUUUAGAGGAAGAGGCUUUGCCUGGUUGUUUGCUACGUGCUGUUCUGGGCAUUCGUUUCACUUGGGGAAAGCAAGUAAGCGCCACCUCCGCACAGGAAGAUGCAGUGGCUGGUGCAGUGCUACAGCGUUUGAGGAGCCCUGCGUACAGGCGUAAGCAGCUACAGGUGGCUCGUGGCAUUGGAGAAGCAGGUGAAAUUUUAAGCCUUGAUCUCUUUCCACUUUUUUUUUUUUUUUUUUUUUUGAGCUUGUAAUGUUCACUUCCUCCAAGUGGUGCAUGUGGAUCCUGAAUCCAGAUGUUGGACGGGCCGUGCCGAUGCAGGCUUUCUCCCAAGAGGACUAAUGGUCGUCGGUAAUGCCUGCGGGUGCACCCAGACAGCGUAGUGACCAGACAACGUAGCACCCAGGCAGCUGGGACUGUGGACACCCUGGAUAAAAGUGGCACAAGUUAUAGAUAAUCAAAACUGCAUAGAAAGUGCAUGUUGAGGGGUAGGGGGUGUGUGUGAUCCUAUUCCUAACGCUGGAUGACUCACAGAGGCUUGAAAAGCUCAAAAGUUAUAAAAUGAAACUUUUUGCGUAAAAUGUGUAUAGUGUGUUGGUACAGAGGAAGGCUCUUUUGCUACAUGAAAACACCAUCAAAACUGGUUUAAAGUGUUUUGAGGCUCUCUUUGAACAGUUUGCUGCCCAGGCAGCACACAGCUAUGGGCUUUUUGACCCAGCAGCUGAUGAUGCUGUAACAGAUGCAUCAGCUACGUAAGGGCUGCUCCUAUUAGACUGCUUCUCCUCAGGGUGACACAGCAUCCAGAUGGAUCAGCCUGUCUCGUUUCAGCAGGUCGCAGGUCGUAUGUAGUUAAUGAUGUUCCUAGCAGUCUAUUCUCAACCUGGAGAUUAUGUUCAAGAGACAUAAUCAAAAUCCGUAAGGGGUGGAAAAAUGUAGUGCAAAUCUUGGCUUAUAACCACUGUGCUUUGAUACUGUGAGGAUGUUGUCAAAGGGCCAACGUCUGCCUGCUCGCUCUUUUUCCCUUAUGUUACAAAGGCUAAAUUGUGUGUCCUUCUGGGAAGAAAUUGUUCCUCAAAGUCUCUGAAGUCAUAAAGAGAUAGUGCUAGAUAUACGGUCCCAAUAGCGUACUUGGAAAUACAGGAGACCUGUUGGUUUUCUCAGUUGCAGCCGAUUGUAUUACAAAUAGAGCAGCCCGUCCCAGCUUCGCGGUUCCCAGAACCACUGUUUUCUCUUUUACAUGUUUGCAUUGAUCGAAGCACACGGCCAACCUCCUUUAAUAAAGCGAUCUACUUCAAAGAGACCGGUGACCAGGUCUAAUUAAUUAAAUACACUCAUGAACACCUGGCCGUAAAUGAUGAAAGCGUUCACUGCAGGACUAUUUUUCUGCUCCCUGCGACUGCAAAGAGAUCGCUAACGGAGUUGGUUUUGUACUGAGAUGUAAAAAAAUACUAGCACCAUAUUGUGUCAUGUCAUAAAUGCUGUGUGGAUUCAUUCUGGAUGGAAGAUGAUAUUGGGUAAAGAAGCUGCAUAAUACUGUAAAAAGGAAAACAGACUUGUUCGGGUGGCUCUUUUCCUGUGUUAUAUUGUAACAGAAGCAGCUCUGCCGCUUGCUUACCUUUGGCUCUGCUGCCAGUAACCGUCUCUCUCUGCGAGGUGUGCGUAAAGGCAAUGCAGUGCCUUCUUGGAGCUGCGCCCGCCCACCCAGAUGGAUGGUCUGGGUGGCUUUGUAUCGGUAAUCGCCACACCGAGAGAGCAAAACAAUACUCUGCUCCUUGUUACAGUGCAAGCUUUUUAUUCAAUCUGUAGAGAAAGUCACUCUACUGGGAAUUUCUUACUAUUACCACAGGAGAGAGGGGAAAUCUCCCAGGUAGCUCUUCUCCCGCUUUGGUAGAUGGAGAAGGAAGAACGUCUCCUCCUUCCUCCCCUGCGCUUGUCAGCGUCUUCUUCACUAGACCCGGGGCUGGGAAUACUCUGCUUGGGGCUGGGCUUUCUCAGGGGUGAAGCAGAAGGAAGAGGUAGGGAGAGGGAUCGUGGCACAGUAGAAAACAGGACAGAAAAUAGGCACUGUAUCCAGUUGAAUUAUUCCUGCAGUAAUUUGUGCUGGGGUAACAUCCAGGGAUUCAAAUCAGGCCCUGAUACUGGGUGGUUCGUAUACACCUGCCUGGACACCCGCGAUCCAGGGAGCCCCAAGCUGAGAUGCAGGAGGGUGCAAGGCCCCUACUGUGCAUUUCCGUAUCAAACUAGUGUCUGCUCUAAUUCUCCAAACACCGUAUCAACAGUGUGGCCCAGAAUCUACAUGAAAAAGAGUUUUCCAAAACUCUUAAGAUUUUAAUGAUCCAAUUCUGUGCCAAUUUUUAGAUACCUAAUCUCUUAAUCCAUAUCUGCAGUCUCCCAUUGCUCUCAUUCUUCAGUAUCAGCUUUUGAAACAGACCCAAUAGCCACUAAUUGUACUAAUUUCAGACUAUACCACAUAUUUCUGGUUUGUUGUUAUUCCCUUCUAAUUACACAAAUUACAAUUACCAGCAGCAUAGUAGUUUCAGAUAUGAUGUUUGAUACUACAUUUUAUUUUGCAGUCUUGUUUGUAAUACAGUAAUAUGAUUUUGUAAUAUAGUAUUGUUUAUAAUCUUUUUUCCCCUGGAUCAACUAGUAAGAAAUUUGUAUGAUAUGGAUUGGUAAAAUCGAGGCCACUUUGGCAGGGUAAUUUCAAAUGAGGAUUUGUGAGCAGCAUAAUUAUAAUGUAUACAUGCACUCUAAUUCAUGAGUAUCUUGGGAGUUCUCUAUAAGAUGUGAGUCUAUCUAUGCAAAACUGAAAUAUGAUGCUUUAAACAUACCCUGGAGGGUUUUCUUAGCAAUCAAGAGACUUCUGGUAGGAUAGAAGGAGGAAAUAAAAUAAAAACCCCUGUGCGUUUAUACAGCACUUGUCACCCAAAGCAUUCCAGUGCACUUCGCUGAGUGCAUCACAAGUAACGCAGAAUUGCUUUUUAGCUUACAGAGCAAGUUAGGAUAGGAAAGCUGUAGAAGAAAAAUGUUAGUUGUUUGGCUCUGAUGUAAUUUCCCAAUUUGAAGUUAGGGCUACCCUGAACUCCUGUAAAAAAUAAAUAAAUAAAUAAAAAUCCUUAUUCUGACGGCCCUCUUUCGACACUUCAUGGCUUGGUCUGAGCAUUUCAUUAUUUCAUUAUUUUGGAAAAAAAUGCUGAAGAAAAGGGAGCUGAUUUCUUCCCAGCUCUGCUGUGCCUGGAAGCGCUCCACGCUUGUGCAGAGCUUCUGCCUCCAAAAUCCUAGUUGCUUUACCAAAAUCCUGCAAACACCAGAGAAGAAAAUUCAUAUUAUCUCUCUAGCACAGAAAAGGAGAUGAAGGCACUGAGUGGUUAUAGACUCAUCUAAGGUCACACAAGGUCAGUGAGGGGGCCAAACGGAGCUGUAUUUUCCAAAGAGUAUUUAGAGUGGCAAGGACCUGUCAAUUACUGGCAAGCCAACAAGCCCUAUGAUGGGAAACUUGCCUUUGGAUGUUAUUCUGAUAAUAUUUGUGGAAUGUCCUUCUGCAAAGGUGCAGUAGCCGCCUCAGCACAAGUGCCAUUCAUAAAGGAAGAGAAAAUAAGAAACGGCGACGCUGCCAGCAGUGUAAGCAGUCUGUUGUGGCUGUGCUAUCUUAAGGUAAAUUAUUCUGUGUGGCUUGUUAAGUGGAGCAUUUCUCUAUUGCAUUGCGUUGCUUAUUUGUUCUGAAGUUGACACAAAAGAAAUACGUAGUAUCUUGGUUUUUAUGUAGGCUGAGAUAGAGUGAAGUCAGCUGUCACAGGGACCUGAACAGGCCUUAAACUGGCAGCUCGCACACCAUGGUAUUUACUACGAGCAGACCUUGGCCCCCAGGGAGGCUAUAUAUAACUUGAUGUGAAAAGCUUUAGAUCUUUUUGAAAGGCUGAGCUUAUUCUAAGCUCUUUUGGGCUUGGUUUUGUAAGUUUUCUGUGCUUCUCAGAAUUUGGGAGGUACUGGAGGGUGCUAAGGACCGUCGCACUGACAUAGUUACAAAAGACACAGAGUGUGUGAACAAAUUCAGUACAAAGGGUAAUUCUUAUAGGAGUAUCACAAAAGUUUUGUUAUAGUAAACAGUAAAACCUUUCCACAACAUUUCACAGUUAAACAAAAUACCUCUGCAGUGUACCUAGCUGUGUAAUUUCAGUUUUCUGUGUGUUACAGCAAGAAGCUCCUAGCUGACCCUGGAAGACCUCAUCUUCUAGUCACUGCUCCCACAACAGGCUGCGGACGUUCCCAGAUCCCACCACAGCGCCGAUGCUGAUCCAUCAAUGUCAUUUUGCCGGACCGAUCCCAGAACGCUUACUGUCACGCCAGAAGCAGGAACCCAGGGCACACAACUGGAAAAGGAAAGGUUUCUGGCAGGCAACAGCUUCAGGUGAUCCCAUUGCAUCUGCGGAGACGUGGCCCUGCUGCCAGGUGGGCUCCUUUUCGUCAGGAGCUGCCCGGCACCCUUCCCCCCGGCGCUGCCCCUGCGGUGUCUGCGUGUCUGCCGGCCACGGCCCUGCCGAAGGAGCAAUAACGGGAGGUGAGGUGCUCUGAGCAAAAAUGUUUCUCACGAGCCACAGGAACCACCAGCAGCAGCACGCCAUGAACCAUAACGCGCACGGCCACCCUGGUGCUAACCGGAGGGGCAGGUCACGGCAGGCUGCCGAUACCUGGCAGCUCUAAGCAGGACCGCUCAGCCUUUCCUGGCUUGCUCUACCAAGGACAUCACUGCUUUCACAUGAGAGCAACAAGAAUGGUCUUGUCUCCUCUCGAGACCUCAAGGUCCCGUCUUCAUUUGCCAGCAAGUGUUCCACGAAACUCCGUUUCAUUAAAGCUAUCACACAAUAACCUUCGCAGAAUUACCUGCUCUUUGUAGUCCCACCAUAGCCUGAGCCUGCUCUCACUGAAGUUACUGUUAGGCUGAGGGACUCAAAUUCAUCUUUUCCUCUAGUUAAGUGCCUGGAGCCAACUAAUGUCCUUCCGCAGUCAUGAAACGCGACAAAGGGACCCUGAUUCGGAGGAGAAGGUGAGGUUUGUGGUCUCUAUGGAAACUGAAGAAUAGCCUAAUGAAAGGGCAGACGAGGAAGCAAGAACGCAGGACUAUCAGACGAACGGAAACCGCAGCAUCUCAGACGCAAGUUGAGAAAAUGAGGCAGUGAACUUGGCAAGUUGACUGAAUUGUAAGUUUGGUACCUGGGGCCCUGGUGAGGACUCGGUGGUGAUCUCUUAACAGAUAAUUGACAAAUUCUGUGGCACAGCAGGACCAAAUAUUGACACCUCUAAUAUAUAUUGGGAGAAGAGGAGGAAGAGUCACAACCAUACAAAGACCAUGCCUGUUUUAUAUUUUUUCUUCACAUGUUUUCUGCUGCAGCUAUACCAGAUGAAAAUACAAGAAAAUCUGAUAACGUAGGAAUGUGUCUGUGUUGUUUGAUGCACACGCUAAGUGAUACUGUCUUUGUAAGCAGGGCCCCUGGCUUUGAACG